UAACAUGCAAUGCGUUAUGCAAUGACGAACUAUUCUUUCACCUUUUGCUACAGAAUACCGUGUGCUCGUUGCAAAUGGUGGCAUACCCCUAUUUUUGGAUUCACUCAGAGUGCA